rnacentral:rRNA from 1 species
UUUUCGCAAUGCCCGAAAGGGUGACGAAGCGACGUCGCGUGGGUGAUGAAGGCCCUUGGGUCGUAAAGCCCUGUCAAGAGUUAUGAAAGCAGCUUUGCUGUCUGACAAAGGCUCUAAAGGAAGUCACGGCUAACUCUGUGCCAGCAGCCGCGGUAAUACAGAGGUGGCAAGCGUUGUUCGGAAUUAUUGGGCGUAAAGAGCACGUAGGUGGUCAGAUAAGUCAGAUGUAAAAUACCUUUGCUCAACAAAGGACCUGCAUUUGAAACUGUCCGACUAGAGUACAGAAGGGGAGAAUGGAAUUUCUGAUGGAGCGGUGAAAUGUGUAGAUAUCAGAAGGAACGCCGGUGGCGAAAGCGAUUCUCUGGCCUAUUACUGACACUCAGUGUGCGAAAGCUAGGGGAGCAAACGGGAUUAGAUACCCCGGUAGUCCUAGCCGUAAACGAUGGGCACUAAGUAGAGGGGUUUUA